rnacentral:rRNA from 1 species
GGAAUCUUUCACAAUGGGCGAAAGCCUGAUGGAGCAACGCCGCGUGCAGGAUGACGGCCUUCGGGUUGUAAACUGCUUUUAUAUCCGAGAAAUAUGAUGGUAAGAUAUGAAUAAGGACCGGCUAACUACGUGCCAGCAGCCGCGGUCAUACGUAGGGUCCAAGCAUUAUCCGGAUUGACUGGGUGUAAAGAGUUGCGUAGGUGGUGUCUUAAGUAGAUAGUGAAAUCUGGUGGCUCAACCAUUCAGACUAUUAUCUAAACUGAGGCGCUCGAGAGCGUUAGGGGUAGCUGGAAUUUCUAGUGUAGGAGUGAAAUCCGUAGAUAUUAGAAAGAACACCGAUAGCGUAGGCAGGCUACUGGGACGUUUCUGACACUAAGGCACGAAAGCGUAGGGAGCAAACG